rnacentral:rRNA from 1 species
GUGCCAGCCGCCGCGGUAAUACGGAGGAUGCGAGCGUUAUCCGGAUUUAUUGGGUUUAAAGGGUGCGCAGGCGGGCUUUUAAGUCAGCGGUGAAAUCUCGACGCUUAACGUCGAAACUGCCGUUGAAACUGGGAGUCUUGAGUAUAGAUGAAGUAGGCGGAAUUCGUUGUGUAGCGGUGACAUGCUUAGAUAUAACGAGGAACUCCGAUUGCGUAGGCAGCUUACUAAACUAUAACUGACGCUCAUGCACGAAAGCGUGGGGAUCAAACAGGAUUAGAUACCCUGGUAGUCCACGCCGUAAACGAUGAUUACUAGUUGUAUGCGAUAUGAUAGUAUGUGACUAAGCGAAAGCGAUAAGUAAUCCACCUGGGGAGUACGCCGGCAACGGUGAAACUCAAAGGAAUUGACGGGGGCCCGCACAAGCGGAGGAACAUGUGGUUUAAUUCGAUGAUACGCGAGGAACCUUACCCGGGCUUGAAAUGCAGAAGACGAUCUAUGAAAGUAGAUUUCCAGCAAGUGGUUUCUGUGUAGGUGCUGCAUGGUUGCCGCCAGUU